rnacentral:rRNA from 1 species
AGCAUAUCAAUAAGCGGAGGAAAAGAAACUAACAAGGAUUCCCCUAGUAACUGCGAGUGAAGCGGGAAAAGCUCAAAUUUAAAAUCUGGCAGUCUUUGAUUGUCCGAGUUGUAAUCUAGAGAAGUGUUAUCCGCGCUGGACCGUGUACAAGUCUCCUGGAAUGGAGCGUCAUAGAGGGUGAGAAUCCCGUCUUUGACACGGACUACCAGUGCUUUGUGAUGCGCUCUCAAAGAGUCGAGUUGUUUGGGAAUGCAGCUCAAAAUGGGUGGUAAAUUCCAUCUAAAGCUAAAUAUUGGCGAGAGACCGAUAGCGAACAAGUACCGUGAGGGAAAGAUGAAAAGAACUUUGGAAAGAGAGUUAAACAGUACGUGAAAUUGCUGAAAGGGAAACGCUUAAAGUCAGUCGCAUUGUCUGAGAAUCAACCUUGCUUUUGCUGGGUGUACUUUUCAGUUAAUGGGUCAACAUCAAUUUUGACCGUUGGAUAAAGUCUAAGGGAAUGUGGCAUCUUAGGAUGUGUUAUAGCCUUUGGUCGCAUACAACGGUUGGGAUUGAGGAACUCAGCACGCCGCAAGGCCGGGUACUCGUACCACGUUCGUGCUUAGGAUGUUGGCAUAAUGGCUUUAAUCGACCCGUCUUGAAACACGGACCAAGGAGUCUAACAUGCCUGCGAGUAUUUGGGUGGAAAACCCGAGUGCGUAAUGAAAGUGAAAGUUGAGAUCUCUGUCAUGGAGAGCAUCGACGCCCGGACCAGACCUUUUGUGACGGAUCUGCGGUAGAGCAUGUAUGUUGGGACCCGAAAGAUGGUGAACUAUGCCUGAAUAGGGUGAAGCCAGAGGAAACUCUGGUGGAGGCUCGUAGCGAUUCUGACGUGCAAAUCGAUCGUCAAAUUUGGGUAUAGGGGCGAAAGAC